ACCUGGUGUGAAUUGCAUAAUCCCGUGAACCAUCGAAUUUUUGAACGCAAGUUGCGCCCGAGGCCUUUUGGUCGAGGGCACGUCUGCCUGGGCGUCACGU
rnacentral:rRNA from 1 species